UCUAGAAUCUUAAUAAAGGUACACCCACACCUUUCCAGUAAGAGGGGAUGCUGAAAUUAUUGGAGCUCGCUACCAGCAAGCCUAAAUGUCAGUUCACAGACUCCAGACAGAAGCAUCAUAUUUCUACACUAUAAGUAAGUCAAACCCAAAUCUGCUGUGCGGUCUGGAAAAUCACUGUUGGUCUUCACUAGACCUCAUCCUCCAAGGAUCACACUGAAGUCCUCUGGAGCAGGAGGUAGAUCUCUAGUCCAGAACCUCUGCGGCCGUUUUCGUUCUUCAGGUUCGCUGAUGUCCCUCCGCUCUGGUUUCCGCAGCGUCAGGCAGGAACCCCGCGCCGCCUGGUGUGAGGUCCGGCCCUGGGGGAGCAGGUGGGCCAGCCCUCGGAUCUCUGGGCAGAGGAACCCCCCUCUCCCGCCUGGAGCUUGCGAAAUCUCCUCUGAGGGUAUUCAGCUUAACCUCGUCAGUGACAUGAGAGGUUAGUGGUGGGGGAGCCAGAAGGAAGGAAAGUAUUGCGCAAGAGAUUGUUUCUGCCUGUUUACUCGAUGCGAGGGAAGCCUGCCAUCUUCCGACAACUGGGAGGAGAAAACAGAAAAAAUAACCCUGCCACACAGGGCUAGGUCAUCCCAGGAAGGUAUCUCCAGGAAAGUCUAGAAAUAAAAACAGCUUUCUUUGA